GACAGAGGGUGCAAACGUUGUUCGGAAUUACUGGGCGUAAAGCGCGUGUAGGCGGCUAAGUAAGUCGGGCGUGAAAUCCCACGGCUCAACCGUGGAAGUGCACUCGAAACUGCAUAGCUAGAGUCCUGGAGAGGAAGGUGGGAAUGCUUGGUGUAGAGGUGAAAUUCGUAGAUAUCAAGCGGAACACCGGUGGCGAAGGCGGCCUUCUGGACAGUGACGUGGACGCUGA
rnacentral:rRNA from 1 species